UACGGAGGGUGCAAGCGUUGUCCGGAUUUAUUGGGCAUAAAGAGCGUGUAGGUUGCAGUUUAAGUCAGAUGUUAAAUCCCCCGGCUCAACCGGGGUCCGCAUUUGAUACUGGAUUGCUAGAGAUUGGGAGAGGAAAGCGGAACUCACAGUGUAGCGGUGAAAUGCGUAGAUAUUGUGAGGAACACCAGUUGCGAAGGCGGCUUUCUGGACCAAAUCUGACACUCAAGCGCGAAAGCGUGGGGAGCAAACGGG
rnacentral:misc_RNA from 1 species